AACGAACGCUGGCGGCGUGCCUAACACAUGCAAGUCGAUCGAGACCUUCGGGUCUAGUGGCGCACGGGUGCGUAACGCGUGGGAACCUGCCCUUAGGUUCGGAAUAACUCCCCGAAAGGGGUGCUAAUACCGGAUAAUGUCUUCGGACCAAAGAUUUAUCGCCUUUGGAUGGGCCCGCGUUGGAUUAGCUAGUUGGUAGGGUAAAAGCCUACCAAGGCGACGAUCCAUAGCUGGUCUGAGAGGAUGAUCAGCCACACUGGGACUGAGACACGGCCCAGACUCCUACGGGAGGCAGCAGUGGGGAAUAUUGGACAAUGGGCGAAAGCCUGAUCCAGCAAUGCCGCGUGAGUGAUGAAGGCCUUAGGGUUGUAAAGCUCUUUUACCCGGGAUGAUAAUGACAGUACCGGGAGAAUAAGCUCCGGCUAACUCCGUG
rnacentral:rRNA from 1 species